rnacentral:RNase_P_RNA from 1 species
UAAGCAGGAUGGAUGGUCGCCCAGUCUUGUUGGAGACAAGACAAUGGAUUUUCACCGAUUGGAUACGGAUUCACACGGAAAUAUUUGUGUUGAUCUGUUUAAAAUCUGUGUUUAUCAGUGAUCUCGCCUUCGGCGAGAUUGGGAGGAAAGUCCGAGCUCCAAAGAGCAACGCACCUUAGAUUCAAUAUAAGGCCGUUAUAACCCAGCACAUAAGGACCACUAGAUUUCUAUCAAAAACGAAGGUCGCUCGUAUAAUGAAAUUCGUUGUUGCGAAAAGAUUGAUUGGCAAUAUUAAACCAAUCGAAAUCAAAAAGUUUUUGGUGGUUGUUAUGUGCUGGGGAAGGCGCGGGAAAGUGCAACAGAAACAAACCGCCUAACCAGUGCGAAAGCAGUGGUGGUAAGGGUGAAAUCGUGCCCCGAUGUGAAAAUCAGGGUCCCGGCCACAGCGUCGGGACGGUAAGAGCGCACGCUUCUAUGCGGUAACGCAUAGUCGGGGUAAACCCUGCGUGGUGCAAGUCCGGUGGGUCCUCACAUCAUCAACCUCUGCUCGAGGGAUGUCCAAGGAUCCGGACGCUUUAGAUAGAUGGUCAUCUUCAACAAAACUCGGCUUAUAGUCCUACUUAGCAU